rnacentral:rRNA from 1 species
CACGCAGGCGGUUUGUUAAGUCAGAUGUGAAAUCCCCGCGCUUAACGUGGGAACUGCAUUUGAAACUGGCAAGCUAGAGUCUUGUAGAGGGGGGUAGAAUUCCAGGUGUAGCGGUGAAAUGCGUAGGGAUCUGGAGGAAUACCGGUGGCGAAGGCGGCCCCCUGGACAAAGACUGACGCUCAGGUGCGAAAGCGUGGGGAGCAAACA